UACGUAGGCAGCAAGCGUUGUUCGGAGUUACUGGGCGUAAAGGGUGUGUAGGCGGUUAUUUAAGUUUGGUGUGAAAUCUCCCGGCUCAACCGGGAGGGUGCGCCGAAUACUGAAUGACUUGGAGUGCGGGAGAGGAAAGUGGAAUUCCUGGUGUAGCGGUGAAAUGCGUAGAUAUCAGGAGGAACACCGGUGGCGAAGGCGGCUCUCUGGACGGAUACUGACGCUGAGGCGCGAAAGCGUGGGGAUCAAACAGG
rnacentral:rRNA from 1 species